GGGAAAUGAUGAGUGGUUAUGACUUGCUGUAACUCUGCGAGAUGGGUGUCCACCUCCAGCCUGGUUACGACAUUCUGGGCGCUCCUAUCUUUCCAAUCUGAUCCC